rnacentral:sRNA from 1 species
UUAUGUAUGUAUGUAUAUAUAUAUAUAUAUAUAUAUAUAUGUUCUUAACAGGAAACACGGAAACUGUGGU